rnacentral:rRNA from 1 species
CCUACGGGCGACAGCAGUGAGGAAUAUUGGUCAAUGGGCGCGAGCCUGAACCAGCCAAGUAGCGUGAAGGAUGACUGCCCUACGGGUUGUAAACUUCUUUUAUAAAGGAAUAAAGUGAGGCACGUGUGCCUUUUUGUAUGUACUUUAUGAAUAAGGAUCGGCUAACUCCGUGCCGGCAGCCGCGAUAAUACGGAGGAUCCGAGCGUUAGCCGGAUUUAUUGGGUGUAAAGGGAGCGUAGAUGGGGUGUUAAGUCAGUUGUGAAUUUUUGCGGCUCAACCGUAAAAUUGCAAUUGAUACUGGCAGCCUUGAGUACAGUUGAGGUAGGCGGAAUUCGUGGUGUAGCGGUGAAAUGCUUAGAUAUCACGAAGAACUCCGAUUGCGAAGGCAGCUUACUAAACUGCCACUGACAUUGAUGCUCGAAAGUGUGGGUAGCAAACAGGAUUAGAUACCCUUGUAGUC